GACGAACGCUGGCGGCGUGCUUAACACAUGCAAGUCGAACGGUAAGGCCCCAGCUUGCUGGGGUACACGAGUGGCGAACGGGUGAGUAACACGUGGGUGACCUGCCCCGCACUUCGGGAUAAGCCUGGGAAACUGGGUCUAAUACCGGAUAGGACCGCACCGUGAGGGUGUGGUGGAAAGUUUUUCGGUGUGGGAUGGGCCCGCGGCCUAUCAGCUUGUUGGUGGGGUAAUGGCCUACCAAGGCGGCGACGGGUAGCCGGCCUGAGAGGGUGGACGGCCACAUUGGGACUGAGACACGGCCCAGACUCCUACGGGAGGCAGCAGUGGGGAAUAUUGCACAAUGGGCGGAAGCCUGAUGCAGCGACGCCGCGUGGGGGAUGACGGCCUUCGGGUUAUAAACUCCUUUCACCAUCGACGAAGGUUUUCUGACGGUAGAUGGAGAAGAAGCACCGGCUAACUACGUG
rnacentral:rRNA from 1 species